CUGCCUGCCCCGUGACAGAGCCCGGCGCGAGGUUCCCGACAGGAGGGCUUUUAGAACCGGCCGUGCCCGGUGGACUCAACGUGUUUAUGCUUUGUGUGGGUUUCUCUCCCCCGGUGCCGUCCUGUGUGUCUGCCCGGGCCGUGUUGUUAUGGCACGCUGGUUGGUGAGCAGGGGAACGGAGGUUGCUGCCGUCCUCCAGAGCAUAAACGCUAUUUAUAGGUUGGACAGACUUUACUGCAGAGUGCCUUCGGUUCUGGGGCCGAGCGAGGUGUGUUAGUGAUGUUCUGGUGUUCCGGAGUUAGGAUUUUAUGGAAAGCUCUGGAAGAGCGCUGGUAAGCUGCGUAGGGAAAGGCGAGUUGGCAUUGAGGAACGUAAUGCUGUCUUAAUGCAACUUCUCAAAUAGCAGAAGAAACAGCAAGUAAGAGGAUACGCAGUUCUAGAUCGGAGGCUUUCAGCUCGCAGGCAGAGGACCCCAGGAGUCUGCUGGCGGCUUGCACGGGGUCUGUAAGAAGCAUCUGUGCCUGUGGGCAAAUGCUUGGAGUUCAGGCUUCUGCAUCUCUCAAAAUCCUGGAAAAAAAUGGAAGACCACUAUUUCUAGAUGACGGAGAUAUUUUAGUUUAGAGUAAGCGGAGGAGGAGUGGGAAAGCAAACUGUAGCUGGGUGUUCUGCUGUCUGUUUUGCUACUAUAGAGCUUAAAAAAAAUGUUGAAUUUAAUGUAUUUUGAAGAGUUACAUAAGCACAGCGUGGCGAUUCUUAAAUAGCCUUAAAAAGUUAAAUAACAGCAGACGAACGAGGAAGAAUAGGUUGGGGAGAGAUGAUUUUAUAACCAAUGUUGAUGAGCGUGCCUGAGCAUUUAAAACUGCAGCAGAGUUGUGCUUGAAUCUUGUGUUAGUAGUAUUGGUGUUGGGGCUUUAAUGCUCUGUAACAGAAUGUGAGAAGGAGGAUAGAAGGAUAAAGUUUUUCACAGUAUAUGCAGGUCUAGCUUGUUAAAUGUGUUGGGGAUUUAUGAUGCUUCAGUAUGAUGCUUCCAUUCUGUCAUAACAUUACCAGCACUAUCUUCUGCAUAUGAAAUAGUGAGAUUUUCCAGGUAUUAACUUGCCUCAGAAAGGAGGGGAUCUCACCUUAAAAUAUCAAGAAAGGGUGGUUGUGCCGAAUGGUGAAAGGAUGGUAAUCAGCCAUAUUUGGUGCUUGCUGUGGAGUGCUGGUGUUCUGUGUUGGUUAUGAGAGUCAAAUGAAACGGUGCUGGGCACAGAAAUACAUCUAUUUGCCCAAGCAAUAUCAGCUUUAUUUGUGCGGGCACAUCUGCAUGUCUUUAUAUCUUCCUGCUUCAGGGGGGGAAAAAAAUCUACCUUAAAUAGAAAUUGGGUAGGGAGCAGUUGAUUUGUUACGGAUCUGAGGGUGCACAGGAGCAGAGCACAUCAGUGUCUGAUUUUUGUGUACGUGGAAUUGCUGGUGGAAUUGAUGCCCCAGGAAAUUGCUUUCUCUAUUUUUGUUGGUGACACGCAGUUAACAUAAAAUGAGCGCUUUGGAUCCCGUAUCCCAUUUCUCUUUAAUAUAACUAAGAUCGUUUAUCUUCUCAGACGGCUGGGAGAAAAAAUAUUUCAUUUUGUAACUUAGUUCACCUUCUCUUCAAUUGCUGUCAGUUCAUGACAGGGAACAAUGUGUGCUGUACACGGUGUUCUACUGAGCUGUUUUGGUGACGAGUAUAAUGUAUAUGAAAAAAAAGCCUAUGAAAAAUAGGUGUUGUGCCAGUUCUUCUCACUUCUGUGUAAACAGUACCAAUUUAUCUUUCAUGUACUCAGUAUUUCACGGUGGGAUCUCGUGCCAGAUUUCAGUAGCAAAAAGAUGUGUUUUGUUGUUUGCGUGUGCUUAGAAAAGGCUUCGAGAAGUAUUUAUCUAAAUGAGUGUUUGCGUUGAUGUUGCUGCAGGAAGUAGUGAAAGUCUUUUUUUUUCCUGCUUUAAUAAAAAGGGAAAUUGGGAACUUAUUUUAAAAGCAAGUGUUUGUUUAUGUUACUUGUUGCCUAUUACAUGGUUAAAAUUGAGAGGAGCUCCUUAAUCUGGGCUGUUUUUUUUUUUUCCAUUGCUGUAACCACGCGUUUACCCCCCCCUGCCCCCCCUUAUUAACAACGAAAGCAUGGAAUUAUGUUUUUGCUGCUCUGUCUAUAGUAUCACUGGCUGUAGCUAUCAUGCAGUAUUUACAUGGUGCUAUUUCAUAAAUAUCCUGCUUCUCGAGUUAUAUGGCAGCACCAGAAUAAGAGCUCAAAAAGGCUGCAACAUAAAGGAUAAAAGUAGUUGCAAACAUGAAUGCUGAAAUACAAAUUAAAAUCACAAAACCUUUCCCUGAUAGUUCUUCCGAGUCAGUUUCGUGAUAAUUCUGUGUCCUGACUCAGGACUUUCUGGAGAAAGAAUUAACAGAGUUGCGACUGUUUGCAGUGAAUUUAUGCAUAGAUAGUAUUUUUUUUAUUGGCUUUGGACUUUGCUAAAUACAGCAUAAGGUUUACCAUCCUUCGUGAGCCCUUCAGGGUGCUGCACCUCAGCCGGCAGGCGCUGCGUGGUUACCUAACAGCCGGGCUGCAAACUGGAGUUGUUUGUAUUCUGAGUUUCGCCCUUAUCAAGGUCAGAGAUUUCAUCCUUCCGUAGUUUCCUGAUCUGGCAACUUAACACUUGCAGAUGGCCCUCGUUUGUGGGUAUUUGUGACCUGUCCUGAGCUCAGGAAGGAACGUGUUAAAUGACCCCAGGAAUUUGCUUCUCCACAGACGUAACAGGAGAUCCCUGAAAAUCCCCGAAAGACUGACGGCAACACAGAAAAAAUAUGAAUUGUGGCAGUAAAACAUUGGAGCUGAAAGUUUCCUCAGUUCCUGACAGAAAGUGAUGUAUUUAGCAGGACAAGAAAAAAGGAUGGUUGUAGUAUAUGCUGGUUGUGAUUAGUUGAAAUCAAUCUGGAUGCAGAAGUUUUGCCAUUGUCAGUAGUUUGAGUGCUUCAGUCUGAACAUGUGGGAUAAUUGGGGCGGUGGGGGGGGAGGAGGGGGUGCUGCUCUUGAGCCCCGUGUUGCAGUGAGCUGAAUCCCACUGUACAGUUCAUGUGAGAACUUUUGGUAUUAUUCUGUUAGGAAGCGUUAAUGGUUUAUGCUGAUGUUGUUGGUUUUUUUUUUUUGUUUUUGUUUUUUUGAAAUAAUUUCUGGGCUGUAAAUCUGUUAUUAAAGCAUAAGCAAAAGAAAUAGAGAAGUAAAUAGUUUCAGGAGCAUUUAUAGCACUGUAAGCCAUGAUUUUUAUUAGUGCUUCUCCGAAUGUAAGUCUUGGUUAGACUGAAGGUCCUACUGAAGAGCAAAAACCAUGUGAUUAUUUAGUAAGCAGGCAGAGCUGGUAAAUGAAAACAUGCUAAAGCAGGCGUAGUAUUUCUUCUGUCUUCCAAAUUAUUACUCCUUGGCACCAAACUGAGAAGGUACUAACAUGUCAGGAGUACCGUACAGGGGUCUCAACAGCAAGCUUAUGAAGUCAGAAGUCAGUGUGCUAAUAAUACUGGCAGGUUUUCUUAUUUUCUUGGUGUUAUGGACUGUCCAAGACAGCAGUUAAUUGCCUGGAUGGAAAGCUGAGGAGAAAUGGGGAGAGGGAAGCAUGGAAAGCAUCCUGCUCCACUGUCACAAAAUGUCCGUGGUUCUGCCCCCCUCCUGGUGGUGCUUUGCAUGCAGCAACGUGCUGCUCUGCCUGUGCUGCUCUGCCUGUGUGUCCCACCGACACCAAGCAAGCUGUGAGCUGCCUGUGCAGUGCUGUGGCUGAAGGAAUCCUCAUUCCUUCAUAGUGCUUAUUAGCUUGGGUUGGAUGUUGUCUACAGGGCUUUUUUUCGGGAGAUGCAGACUAAGUCCUCUAAGAUAGGGUGUUUAUUUUAAAAAGCAUAUCCUGAAUCUGAGGUAAUUCUUCCUCUGAAUUAUGCUCUGGUACAAUUUGGGUACUAUAUACAUUUUCAGAAAAGAUCAUUGUAUUUCUGUGUUAACGUUGUGUAUGGAAUGCCCAGAAUGUGUGCUAAUUUGUAUGAUAACUGUAUUAUGCUCACUUUACAGAGCUUUAAUAGAUCCGUGGCAGCUAUUGUCGGAGCUUCUGCAAGCAUGGCAGAGUUGUAAAAUGAAGGCAGAUACCGACUUCAUCAACUGCACUGUGCCAAGAAAAAGUAGAACUGAAGGGGAGAUGAAAUUUUCACCUGUUUGGGAGGCAAAUAUUUUCUUGGUUGCCAUUUAUAUCAGCGUUGUCAGGUGUUUCUGCCUGACGGGAUGCUGGAUGCUUGGUGGUAGUUAAUCCAGAUGUCUGAAGCUGAACGUAUCUUUGCUUGAUUACGGGAAUUCAGUGGGAGAGUUCUUGCUACCAGCUAGCGUGAGGAGCCGUGAAGUCUCUUGGGACAGAGAAGUUGCAUCUAGCAACGGUGUUUACUUCUGGCAGGAGGGGAGAAAAGGAGAUUGCUAGCUGCUAUCUGCAUGUGUUUUGUAAACUGAAAGCACUGUUUGCUUUUAGAUUUAGCUGUUGUACUGUCCUGAGUCCUCAGUGUUAUUUUAGGAGUGUCUUUCCCCCUCAAUCCUCCUAUUUAUUUGACCUGUCUUUAUAUGUUAGUCUGUUAAUGUCUGCUAUGUAUCAGUGUACAUAACUCUUGGGGUAUCUUUCAUAUUCUGGCUUCUGUGACUUCAGGGCAGUGGCCCAGGCUCCUGGAGCUAUCUGGAUUCUGUUUAUCCUGCUGAUAGAGGACAGGAUUCCAAGUCUGUGAAAAGCAGUUGGUAUUUUUUUCUCAACAAGACGUACGAAUAGCAGAGACACACGUAAGCCAUGUCUAAACCGAACAGAAACUUUUGAAAUCCUGCAGUGUUAAAUAAUGCUUGUGUUUUAAGGCAGGUGUCAGUGAUGUUCGGAACUGCUCCCGUCGUUUCAGAGCAGCCUCUGAGUGCAGCUCAGGGCUGUUUGAGUGUCAUUGCCCUCUGCCGGAGGAGAGCAGAAGCACAGCGCUGCCUGGUGGGCCCGAGCUGCCCGCGGGGCUCUGGGACAACGCUCCCCGCCUCACUUGGCGUUCGGCUUCCUUGUCAGUUCAGGUUCGAGCCAGAUCGGCUAGUUGGUAUUCUUUCCUUCUUACCUAUGUCCAUGGGCAUCUGUUCAGUGAAGCCUGUAGUUGUCUGUAUAAACAGAAGCCAGAACGGCAGAUCCAGUGUCAUGGGACCUGCUAGUUCUCUAAAAACUGUCAUCUACAACCACAGCUAACUCUGUUAGCUUAAAAAAGUCGUGUGCCCUUCCCAGAGAAGAAAAAAAAAAAAUAAUACUGUGGUUUUAAUGUGUAGGUGGUUAGCCCUGUUAGGUUUUGCUAAUCCAGAGGUACCUAUGGAACAGCUCUGACAAAUAAAUCAAUGCUUUGAAUUUAAAAGACACCUAGCUUUGAAUAGCAUUUGUACAGCGUGUUACAGAAGUGAGGUCUGGCUGACUUAGUGUGUGGUUUCACUAGCACGGAAUAUAUCUGCUGGUUUUGAUAAGCCUAUAGGAUAGCAUAGUACACUUUUUAUUAUUAUUUUGCAGCUUAGGAAAAUUCUUGCUUUGUUCUCCUCCAGAAACUGGAGUUUUCAUGUGUGAGUGGUGAUGAGGUUAAAGGGACAUAAUGAAGACAGAGUUCAGCUAUCCUACGUCAGUGAGAGCCUCUGUUCUCUAACAGAAUUACUGACAUUCAUGAGGAAGUCUUUGCAGAGCAUUGGAAAGAAAAAGUCAGAGAUGAUGAUCAGGGAGGAUUAACCAUGGAUUGUAAAUUGAACCGAUCCAAUUCCAGUCAUUUUAAAGAAGUAUUGUUUUGGUAAUGAGUGGCACCUAUAAGCAGUGAUACUGGAAAUCAAAACAGUGUGAUACAGAAGAAAAAAAAUGUUGGUAGGGGUGUUUGGUUGCUUUGCCUGGGCCCUUAACAUUAUGGUGGCAGAAGGAUCUCUCUAAGGACAUACAUGAAAAAGAGGAGCAGCCUGGAUGACUGGGUUCAGUCCCAUAUUGCACAUGGGCAUGUGUUACGACUCAGUUUUCAGGCUCCGAAUUGAAACUGUCCCUGGUCCUCUCAAAAGGCUGUUCUGUGUUUGAUAUCACUGGUGCUUAGAAAUAUAAGACUCAAUUCCCCAGUAAAUACAAGUUUCUAAGUGGCAAUCGGCAUGCAUCCAUUUUCUUUUUUGUUGUGCAAAUAGUGGCCGUUAAUGUCAAUACCUCUGUCUCUCCCUUGUGUUUUGCAUAUGCUGCAUCUGUGGAUAGCAGUUAACUGCUUUCAUGGCCUUUAUUUUGUUCUGGACCAGCAAUUUUUUUUCAUGCCCUCUCCCCUCUUCAGGAUGUAUUGCAUGCCUCUGUAGUUUGAAGACCACUGGUUUCAAAACCAAACUUUUUUUUUUUAGUCUUUUCCUGUAACUUCGUGUUCCCGUGGGUAAAGUUACUUCUGAGAAUGUUCAUGUAGUGUUAUUCUCAUAGUUCCUAGGUCAGAUAAAUUAUAUAAAUGCAAUUUUGCCACCUCUGGUAUCAGUUUAGUCACAGUCUCUGUGGGAUGUACCUCGCUGUGUUUGUACCUUCCGUUCAUGUUUUCCUUAGAAAUGACAAAGUACUCCUAUUAUCAUGAGCAGGUUUAAUUUUGUUCCCCACGCUGUUGGCUGAUUAAAGCAGUGAUUGCAUCUUCUGGCAGUUUGUAACAAAAUCCAUUACCACAAAAAUAAUGUAUUUACCUGCAGUGUACGAGGUCUAUUUUCAAGAACAAGUUUGUGAUGCACGUAACAUUUCUAAUAGACAGGGACUACAGCUUUUUUCUUACUCUGCUACUUCAGAGAAUAUUUUCCAACCCGUUUAAACUGGAAGCCCUCCCUGAGACUUGCAGAUACAUCCUCUUCUGUAGCUGUGUCUAAUUAUUUGUAUACCUCUGAUGUUACUGGCUUCUUUGCGCAGUUUAUUUGGGUAGAUUAUGCAUGGUUUAUUUCAUUUUAACUUGUGAUCAUAAAUCUUUGCAAAGACCUUAGCCAAUAUCGUUAACAGUUCAUUGUUCUUUUUAAUAACAAGGGCAGAAACGCGUGAGGAUUUCAGAAGAAGUGGUGGUGAUUCCUAUUCCCUUCAGGUUUUUUCUGUCUGUUCCUUUGUAGCUGCUGCUGGUGUCUGCCUUCAUUCUGCUACUGCCUGGCAGAAAGCAAACAAAACAAAAAGAAAGGUGAAUAAGUCUAUCUUCUUCCUGCAGGUGGUAUUUAUGAUUCUAUUCUUUUUUUUUUUUUUCUUCAGUUGUUUCUCUGCCUUUCUUGCAGCAAAAACGGACUUUGCCUGUUUCCUGAGUGUUACGUUACCUUUGUGGUUCUGGAAGUUUAAAGAGAAGAGUAAGAAACUGAGCAAGGAAGGGCAUCGUUGGGAUUCUCCUGCCCCGUCCUUGCUGUGAUGUGAGGCCCUGUGGUGCUCACUUCAGUUUGCCUUACAACAGCAUUCAGCUGCAUUCAGUGAUGUAUGCUUUCAGUAGUGUCUGUUUUCUGCUCUUGUCUGUUGCUGUAAGGAGGCAGAAGACAUGAAGAUGAACGCAAACUCAUCUUACCUUCUUAGUGAUGCUUAAGGAGAUCCUCCUAUGGCUUGCAACUCUUGAUUCUUAACGUUAAAUUUUUUUAAAAAUAAAUGAAUAUCCCAUUUCUCACUUAACUUGCCUUCUCUGUAAAUGAGUGGCUUCAUCUGCACUGCUUGCAGUAGAUGAAUGGAACUUCGUAGAGUGCUUGCUUUUAAGACAGACUUUCCAGUAACGUCUCUUAUAGAACUGAAUUCAGAACUUGUUUUCCUACCAUCGUUAUCUCACUUUAAAAUGAGUAAAGAUCUAAAGAUGUUUUCUCAACUAAUUGGUAUUCAGCUGACCCCUCUACUUCUGUGCUCUGGGCCUCUAAAGAAUUCUGUUAAGUAGUAUUUGUAUUACUAGUAUCAUCUGUGCUCUCCUGUGGUUUAUAAGAGCAUAUUUAAGUAUUACAUUAUGUUAACCAGCUCUGUGGAUAGCUCAGGAUUCAAGUUGCUUAUAUUUUGCAGUUCUGCUGCUAUGUUCUUCAUCUCCUGUAAGCAUUGUAAAUAAGAAGUUGGGGCUGCAGAGGAGUUGUUCCAGUGUUGACUGCCAGCACUGCUGGAAAAGGGAUCAGCUUGAACUAGCUUGGGAUGUCCCAGUGAGGAAGUUGGCUGUGGCUGGUAGGGCUUGUUUGAUACAGUAAAAUCGAGUUGGCAGCAAGGAGGGCACAGUGAGGGAGUCAUCAAGUGAGCACUGCCUGAACUCAGCUGUUCCUGAAAAGAGAUGUUCAGGCAUAGCGGCACAAAAAUCCAGACUAAAUAAGAUUAGAAAUCACAGGCUGUGAUUAGAAAUCAGAGGCUGUGAGCAGAGGGAUGACCAGUGCAGGGAGGCCAGAACAGGUGAGGUUCUAUUUUUAGUGAACUUCAAUAUGAGUUGUUAAACAAAAGUGUUUACUCUGUACAUAAAAAUCAUAUUUGAACCUUUCAUGUAUUUCUUCUGUAUCUGAUCUGAUGGUUAUUAAUUCAUGUGCCUUGUACAUACUAUCAUGCACUUAGCUAACUUAAGGGAUGUAUAAUAAGAAUUUUAUAAGCUAUUUCAUUAAUUUAUUUUGCACGUCUUGUACUGUAGCAUAGACAGCUUUGUUAUCAUAGAAUGGUUUGGGUUGGAAGGGACCUUUCUCCAUCUCCUGCUAUAGGCAGGGGCACCUCUCAGUGGAGCAGGGUGCUCACAGCCCCAUCCAGCCUGCCCUUCAGUGCUUCCAGGGUGGAAGCUUCCUUCUUGGGAUGAAGCCCGCUGUCACUGUAUUGUAAUAUAUUAUCCAUUUUUAGGGUUAGGAAGAGAGCAGUACAUCAGCUCAGGAAGGCAUCCCAUCCCUUGCUCAGCUGUGUGAGGACGGUGGUGCCUGAACCACUUCACUUGACUUUGCCAGCCUGUGUUCCUCUGCGUUCAGGUUUUGCUCGGAGCUUCCAUGAUUCUCGCAUUUGGUCACGUUACGUGUUCAUUUACUUCUUCUUACAAGUGCUGGUAUUUGAAUCGACUGUUUAAAUGAAGCAGCAGGCAUACAGCCUCUUGCUGAAUUCUGUUGAAUUGAUGUAGGGAUUAAUUUGAGAGAUGUCAAGUGCUUGAGGUUUCGGUACAGAAGUUAGUGCAGGAAUAAAUCUGGAAUCUUAAAUAUAGAUUUCAUGAGAAGAUAUGUCACUGUGCUAUCACAAGAUUAAUUUGUUGGCCCGGGAUAACACUGGCUUUUGACGAGCAUAUCUUCAAAUAUUUAAAAAUCCGUUCUUGUGUUUUACCAUGAAGUGAUGUGGUCCAGCACUCCUCUGGCUCAAAUGCUGGAAAUGAUUUGUUUCUUUUUACGUGAGUCAUUUCUGUUCAUUUGUAACUAUAGUUAAUUGGUUAAUGGCUCUUAUGGUUAAUAUGCUUCUUGCAGGGUUUCUUCUGCCCUUGAAUGAUCGUGAUUUGGAGUAUACAAGUUUGACUCAAAUACCAGUGUAGAAAUUCCCCCUAGGACUGCUUGUUUCCAAAUACAUCUUUCUAUGCUAUAUGCCUGUAAAACUACCAGUCUUAUUAUUACUUCUUUAAGUCAGGGCCACAGUGGGGUUAUUUUUCCCUACAGCAUGUGUGAAUGUUAACAUUUAGGCUUCAGAGCUGCACAUAACGUGGUAGGGAGUUGGCUUCUAGAGGUGCCUUCACUUACUCAGGAGCAGUGGUGUGGACCUUAAUGAGGAAACGAGUGCAGUACUGUAGCAAUGAUAUUACUGAUAGUUGGGAUUCUGCAUAUUUAAAAGAAAAAAGCAGUGUUGUCAGUGCAUGCUCGCUCUUAUUUACGUACUACAUUAAUAGCUGGUGAUCAUUUCCUUUCUUUCAUACACCACUGAAUGUAGUUUUCUGUUUUCUCAAAGAUGUUUCUUGUCACAGUCAGGAAAUACCUGCUUAGGAGAAGGUGGAGCAAAAAGACUUUUAAUGAAUGAUCAUGGUUCAGUUUUAUCCGUUCUGCUUUUAUUGCUGGAGGGGUCACUUUAGAUUACAGAAUUUUCAAUUGGGUCGAUUUUAUUUAUUGCUUCUUCAGUACUUGAUAAUUAUUAUUGCUUUGAAAUAUUGAAUUUCUGGUCUAAGAUACGUAAUGCUGACAGCAUUUGUGAUGUAACUGCAGAAUCACUGGGAAUUUGUAGCAAGCAUGUUGGUGCCAAAAAAAAAAAAGGCUUCCUAGGCUUUCACCCUUGUCAGUUGGUGUAUGAGGCCUGGUGCACUUUAAUGGCUAUAAUUUUAAACUAAUGAAACUUUUCCAUAAGUGCAGUUUUUUAAUUCUUUGACUAAACUGGAAGACUUGAAACCCAAGUUGCUGUGAUGGGUAGAACCUUUUUUUGCAAUUACUGACGUAAGUUUUUAAGGCUGUCAUCGUACCCUUUUUUUUCCUCUUUUUUAAGUAAUAGCAGCUUUUGUCUUACACAGCCCUCAUUCUUCAUGUUUAUUCCUGCAGUGCUUUUAUGACUAGGAACUAUAUUGCUUAUUCAGUCAGGUAAGCAAACAUAGCUUCUACUCUAUGCUCUAAGCGCUGAUUUCCAGCCCCGCCCCUUCCCCUUUCUUUUGAUCAUCCUAAACUGUGUCUGAUCUGCAUAUUUGGCUCAGAUCUGGGAAAGAUUUGCACCUUAGUUUGCCUACUGCCUCACUUACAGCAGCAUGGGACACAGUGUCCCUUGGCAUCUCUUAAUAUCCUCCAGAACGCCUGAAGUCUGUGGUGAGUUAGCUUGCUGUGCUGGGCUUUGAUGUGCAGUGCACUUGGAAUAGCUCAUCAAAGCAGAAACACGGGUUAAGAAACUAUUCUUAAUCAUCGUGCAAUUGUUAGCUGCUGCUCUACAGCUGACGCUGCGUGAAUCGUCCUCCAUUUCCUGCCUCAGAAACUUCAUGGUCCUGUCGUUCAUUUUGGAGCUGCUGCUGUUGUGUCAUUUCCCAGCUGAGGCCGGCAUGGAGUCUACAGGUGCUUCUGUGCUUCGUUCAGCUGAUUGCUGCCGUUGAACAGUUGAACACAAACCACCGAUGGAGCAGAGAAUAACAGUGAAAGCUCAUGCAGGCAGUCUUCCGUUGUUGCUGGGAAGCAGCAGGAACAAGCGACCACAUUCUCUCCAUCUGUCAUUUAUGCUGGUGCUCUUCUUUGCUCUUUUCUCCUUGUGGUCUAGAUUGAAUCCUUUGGCUGCUGUUACUGAUCUUGGCUGAGAAAUUGUAGUUUGUAGUCUUAAGACCGCUGCUGGGGAUCACACAGCUCUGUCUCUUAUUAAAAAAUAAACAACCCACAAAGCCUUCCGAUGGAUCUCUUCUGUUCUGUAAGUGCUGUGUUGUCAUUUGAGGGGUCGAUAGUUACCAUUCUGUUGCCAUCUCUGCUACCAAAAAGAUCUUCUGUGUUGGUGCUUGAGUCUUCAUUCUUAUUAGACAGGGCACACACUAAUCAGGUAAAGUCUCCAGCCAGCUAUGAGUUGCUGCUCUAAGUUGGGUCUCACCUGCUUUCUCUCACAGUAGGUCAGUCUCAUGACCCAUGGUCACUUUGUAAUGGGCUGAGCUUUUUCCACCUGGUUCCUGAAUUGAAGAGCUGUUUAUGGCAGAAAUAUGGUUGAAUCUUCUGUGAUAGAAUUUCUUCUUUUAUUCAAGUUCUUAAGGUUAUCCAGCUCUUUCUGGGCAGCAUCCUGAUUGUCCUUCUGUAACGUGGUUUUAUCGACAGACAUCACCAUGUUCCUUCAUCUUAUGCCAGGAUUGCUAAUAGGAAAAAAACAUAACAAGACUAAUUCCUAAACCGAUCUGAUUAGUAUUUAAUUCUAAGUGUCUGUACCUCUCCAUCAGUAGAGAACAGUUACGUGUAGAAGUCUUCAGAAAAGUGGUGUUUUGGAGGAGGAAAAAAAAAGUUAUCAGGAUUUAAAACAUGUUCAGAGCAUCUUGGUGGAUUUAUAAAAAUCAGUGUGAUCCAGUUUUUCUGAAGGCAUUUCAGCUCAUUCUGAGUUACUGAACUCAGUGAAGGAAACCAGACAGAAAAUCUGCUCAUUUCCUUAAAUCAGUGGUAAAGUAGUUGAUGUAAUAUUGUUUUGCUUUCUGUACUAAUUGAGUGAGAGUACUUUUGAUCCAGUUGUGUGGAUAAAUGUGUUAAAGAAGAACAUAAGGAGUGGGGAGGUGACUGAAGUGGAACCAGUAAGCCCUGCUAAGACAAGGGUUAAAUACCAAAAGGUUCUUCGGUCAUUGGAACAGUGAAUUAGAAAGGGGAAGCAAAGCUCUCCUUAAAGGUGGUAGCACUUAAGUUCAUUCAUUUUAUAAAAUCAUGGGGAGAGAAGGCUGGAUGGCUGGUGAAUGGAAGGGUUUAGAAACUGAGGUAGUUAUAAAAGUGAAAGGUGCUAAAGCACUGAAGUACAGAUCACGUGUGCUCCAAAAGCUUUCAAGAGUUCUUUUUUUAAGCUGUACCAGAGUUGUGGUGUGAAUGUUUUUCAUAAAGAAUGUAUAUAUUGAAAUAGCUGAACUACUGCACUUAAUCCAGAUUGCUGUUUUCUUUUUUAAACAGUAACAAAACUUGGACAGCUUAGAACUGGACAGCUGUGUGUACUGGUGGCUUCAGAAGACUUGGGGAAAAAAAGCUCACACUGAGUGUUCAAUACAGAAAAUAAAAUACAGUCAGCUUAUCAAAUGUAGUUCAUGCUGAAAUACCUUCUGAUAUCUUCUCUGGCAAGACUCACUUUAUGUAAUGUCCUUGAUGGGAGCCUAUAUAGAAAAAUGCUAUUGAAGCAGCACUUUUAUCAAAAGAGCUGCAAUGUUGUUGACAAGGUGGCCAAGAAGUGGUGACUGGUAGUUUAGGAAAUGGAAGGGGAGGAAUGAGGGCAGGUUUUAGAGAACACACCUUUCAUGUUUAGUUUAGGUAUCAAGGGUGCCUAUUCCUGCUAGGGCUUUGAACGAUGGACAUUUAAUAUUCAGAAUUAAAGAAUAAAUCAGGAAGUCUAGAGAUUUAACGGUCACUUCACUACUUGAAGUGACACAAACAUUGCAUUGAUGUGUUUUCUGAACUUCCUAAAUUCUGAUUCCUUCUGUCUGGAGUUUGCUGUUGACAGCUGAUAAGCACUGACUGAACUAUUAAUGUGAAUGUUAAAGGGAGCAAGUAAUACUGCUCUCUUUCAUUUUGUGAUAGUGUGUUAUUUAUAAGAAGCUGUGAGGUCAUUGGCUUCCUGUAUGAGCCACUUCCUGAAAGCUUUUGUUUUACAUGGUAAAUCUAAAAAUGUAUUUCUUCGAAAAACUCAGCUGUGUUUUGUUUUCUCUUCUCCUUCUUCUGUCUCCUGUCUCCUUACUUUUGCUUCUGCUCCAUUGCUUAUUGCAGAACGGGGUGCAUUGUGAUGGAGGGCACGAGCUGUGUUGGAGUGCUGCAGAGAAAGAUAGUUGCAAAAAGCCAUCACCACUGAUAGAGUAGGAACAGCUUAAAGCAGUCUGACAUGCAGCAGUAUUGACAGUCUCAAAUGUUAGUAGAGUUGUGAGUCACACAGAGGCAAAUAAUCAGAUUACAUCUAACUUAAGCUAAACCUGAACUAGCAGAACUAUUCAGCACAUUAUCUUCAUGUUCAGUUCUGAUUGUCUAAGGGGCAGUUACUUCUGUGCAGUGCUAUGGUUGAAAUUACUUGCAGUUUUUCUUUUAGGGUUCUCAUACAGUCAGUGAAUUUCUGAAUGCUUAGUUUUUAAAGAAACCAAAUUUCAUCAGACUUCAAGGGUUUGGCAAUGAAAGGAGAUAAGCAUAUAUGUAUGUGUGUGUGUGAGAAAGGAAGCGAGCAGCCAAGCUUUAUUAUUCUGUGAUGAUACAAUCAAUAAUGUUCUAUGAUUUAAAAAAAAAAAUUCAAUGAAGUCCAUGCAUUUCAAAAUGUUGAAGUACAGUCAAAAGAGAGCAAUAUAAAAUGAGCUGUGGCAGGUAAGUGUGUGUGUAAAGAUGAAGAGCUCUAGGAAGAAUUAGAAUUCCAGGGUAGUUUAGAAGAAUUCUGUUUUUCAACCAACAAACCAAGUUACUGAAAACAUGUAUAAUUUUUAAAGGGAAUACAAAAUACAGUGUAUGGGUCACCUGUUUAACUUUCUUCACUUUGCUAAGCAAGGCUAAUAGCUAUACUAGCAGAGUAAAGAGAACCUAGAACAGCUCUGUGAACAAGUGCUUUGGUCUGUAAGUGAUCUGAAGUUUUAAAAUGUAUGAACAUACAGAGCUUCUGCUGUGGAAAGGAGAACCUCAUGUCAGUUUGAAGGUGCAGGAAAAACAGCAGUUGGUUUUGUGGCUAAUUAUAUACUUGUUCAAUUCAGAUGAGGUAUUUUGUUUAAUGACCAUCAGAGAUAAUACUGAGACUUCUAAACUUGACAGAAGUAAUAGCAUUGGGAGAGCCUUAAAAAUACAAAUGCUUCUAAAAUAUACAAACAGUUGUAAUAAUUUUUUUUCUUUUUGCCAAUCAGCACGCAGUUUUAUCGCAGCAAUAAAGUCAUUCUCCACGUCUCCAUCAGGCCUUGCUGCCUGUUGGCAAUAUUCCUGUCCAUUUCAUGGUAAUUUCAUCGGUUAUUAGCACUUGUCAAUAGCUUGUCCACCAUAAAUCUCACAUCUCCCAAACGCUGUCUGCUCACCAGAAUCAGUUUGCAGAUUUCUAAAAAUACCCUUCAGACCUCAGCUCUGUGUGGCUUCAGUUGCUGUUGGAUGAAGAACUAGACUUAAGUUGACUUGAGAUAACCGUGUUUGGUGUCUGCUGAUGCUUUUCCCCUCUCUUUUCUCAUGGAUGUGGAGAAGUGGAAGCAAUGCCUGUGUCAGUAUGUUCUUAAUCCUGGAAUUGAUUACUGAAAAACUUCUCUCCUAAUGUGAAGGUGCUGGUGUUAUUGAGAACUGUGGGAGCGUGCUUUUGGUUUAUAUUAGACUCUUAACUUCACCUUAGUUGUUUCAGUUUGUGUCUCUUAAUGUGAGGUGCUGAUUUACUGUCCUGGUACCACAGUGCAAUCACUGCACUGUCAGAUUCGUGCAUGAUUUUGAUCAGUUCUGAGAAAUAAAUAACAGAUAGGAGUUACCAGUGUGGUUAGACUGAAACGACGUGCCUGAUUGUUAGAUAACAGCUCCAGGUGGACCUCUUCAGGAUUUGUUGCAUUCCUCUUUGUUGUCAUUCACCUGUAAGGGGAAUCUGGGAGUGUUUAAUUGAAUGAGUUCUUACCAAUUCUCUGUCCAGCAUAUGAUCUAGUCACUCAACUGGGGAAAAAACUCAGGACCACGAGGAUGAGCUGCAGUGACCUGUGAUAGAAGAGGGUUUGGUGUAAGCGACCUAAAUCUUCAGGUUGUGAUACACACCAACAUGUGUACAUCUGCUUUGUAGAAAUGGAGUUGGAAUUCCAGAAUCUUAACUGAUUUCUGGAUUGGAGAGAACACCCUGUUUUUUUGAUACUUAAAAUGCAUAGUUUUGGGGAUGAUAGUUGGGCACAUAGAAUUAACUGAUAAUUGGGUUGGAAUCAGAUUCUUUGUUUUCUGUGUUGCUUAAAACACAGCAAGAAGGCCUGAAGUACUUUGCAAAAUGAUCUUCAGUAUCUGUAUGCUUCUCUGAAAUUUUCUCAGUUUUAAAUUUGGUGUGGAAUAAUUACUAACCAUCUUUACUUUACUAACAUCUUUACUUAGGAAUACUUCACUGAGUUCCUAACUGCGUAGGCACUUGUAGAACUUGUGGAGAUUUUGCUUAGGUAAGAGUAAUAAUAUGGAUUAAGAGCUGCAGUCAUGCUGAGCUGUAAUAAUCAUAACAAUAAAGAAAAAAAUGAAGUAAACUGAGAGUUGAACAGAAAGGCUCUGAAGAGCACAUCACUGCAGUUUCAGAUAGCUAUCACUAGGAGGACACACAGACCACGACAUCAAGGAGCUGCUUGUUUACCUCCUCGUAUUAACUGGUUUGAUGCUAGUUUAUAAAAUCCAGAAAAGUACACGGGGAAAGGUGGCUGAAUAACUUGUAAUUUGUGGCUUCAGGUAUUGUUUUACUCAGAGUAGGGAGUUGUGUAUCAGAAGAGAAAGGAGUAUGAGAACAUUUGGAAAUCUCUCGGUGCUUUGUCAUUGAAUCAGCAGAAUGCUGCUUCGUGUGCACAUAUGCCAGGCAGUAAUUGAUGACAUGUAGGUGGAAGUGAGCUUUUUUUAUUGGUUAUUGUCCAGUUGUCUAUGCAGUAAUUUCUAACACCUCUUUAUGUUACGGGUGCUUCUGCUGGGCAGGGUGCUGUGUAAGAUGGAGCACUGGCUGGGACUUGGCGCAGCGUUUCUUGUCGUCUCAGCUAACGUUUAACCUGUUUGUGCUCUCGCACGGUGUUUGCACAUAGCUUUUCUUUUAGUUGUCUGUGCAUGUUUACUUAGAUUCUGAUGUACAGCGCUGGGAUAAGGAACAUGGAAAUGAGGCUCACUGAUGUAAUAGUCUGUAGAGUGCCCGUGUUGCUGAGGCAAGCUGUUACCUAAUAAGGAUUUCAGAAUCUGACUCUUUCCGUAUAGGAUCGUUAUUGAUAUCACACAUGCAGACAAAGAUGAUAACUGAAGCAUAUGCUUUAAAUAAAAUGGCAUGAGAAAAUGAAAAAUAGUUUCAAACUUAAAAUUAGUGAAAGAUUCAUGGAAAUAACACCAGAUGGAGAGAAAAAGAAAGUAAGACAGAUUAUUAAUAAGUACAAUGUGCUACAGUUACAUAGAAUAUAAUCUUGCAGGCUGCCAGUGCAUGAAAUUCAUUGUGACUUCUGUAAGAGUCGCUUUGUUACAUAAAGUGAAAAUACGCCAACUGACUCUUCUGGAAUAAUACCUGGUAUUGCAAAUAGGAGCACAGCCCAGUUUUAGGUAGUUCUGGAUUGUUACGACCCACUAAGUCUGGUUAGAACAGAACAGAGUUUUGAGAAAGAGGUGUUAUUUAUGGAAUUAAUACAGUUUCACAUCUCUGGAUUCAUGUACUUAAUUUGCUUUGAGACAUUUUCCUCAGUAUUGCAGCUGGUUUCUAUUGCUGAGUUUUGUAAGGCUCAGCAACACAAGCACUCUGUCUGCCUGCUGGAACACUGAGGUCUGGGACUGUUGCAUGGAUGCUUUACUGAAACUUGUGCUUAAAUAAACCUGUUUGCUUCUUGCUCAUUCUGUGUUAAUCAUAAUUUGUUUUCAUGCAUUUGUGGUUCUUCAAGUAUUGCUUUGAUUCUGAACAGAGCUUGUUCUAUUUUCUUACUAACAAUAUUUUUGUCCAUCCAUUUCUACUCUCCCAGCUAGUUGACUUCAUUAUUUUAUUGUGGGAAUCAGUCUUCUUUUGUACCACGAAAUCCUGGUGUGCUGCUUCAGGCUCUUAAUGGUCAAAAAGCAGGAGCACAGCUGGCUUCCAUUUGUUACGUGUGCUGGCUCUGUGGAUAGGACUGGGCACCGUGCAGAUCUGUGGCUUUAGCCCCCUGGACCAUGUGCAUCUUUAUAAUGUGAAUUGAAUUACAGGUUCAUCAAGGCAACUCUUCCACAUCAGCUGACAUCUGGUUUUACCUGUCCAGCCUUCUCAUGCUGUCUGUAGGAUUUCUGUUUUAAAGAUCCUGCUCUAAAACUAAUCCAGGAUAUCCUAAAUAACAAUUGAAGUAAAAGUGGAAACUGCAUAAUAUUACUUACCUCAUUAGAGAUCUGUAGCAUUUUUGUUCUGGUUAUAAUUUUGGAAACAAAAUGUUAGGCCUUGAAGGUGGAGAUGCGGCCCUGCAUGGGAGCUGCUGAGUUCAGUGUGACCCACUGAUUGAGCACCUGGGGAGAGGAGCCGGUCAGCCCUGGGAGCACAGGUGAAGGCAAUUCAGCUGUGACUGGAAGGGGUGGAGCCUGGCUUCACCUCUCUUAGACCUCAUUUAAGGGCUGACUGCCACUGAAGAAGGAUCUUUUUCUGGAGCCCUUCUUGGUGAAGCUUUCCCCUGCAAAUCUAGAAUCUUCUGAUAUGGGCUCCUAUUACGGAUUGAUCUAACCAGAGCAAAGACUUAAGGUCCAUUUAAUCUUAAUGGGGAGAGUGAGGACCAGGCCGCAAGACUUCAUGAAUUGAAAAUGCUCAAAAGUUCUGUACUGCUUUUUGCCAAAAGUUGGGUGAAAAUGGUGUAUCCUGAAGAGUUGCAUUGGGCUAACUGAAUGAGGUUUUCACGACUGUUCUGUUGCUGUAACCACCAUGGAUGUGAAUGCUGUGGUGAUAAAGGCUUGCCGUUUUCUCAUUCUGGAUUCCUCAAAUCCAAGAGCUACUCAGCAGUUUCCAAGGCAACCACCUGUGGAAUAAUUAAAAAGGAUGAAGUGUUGGUGUGCCAGAUGCACGGAAUUCUUGCCUGGAGAGAGCACUUCGUUUUCAGCUGUUUCGAAUGUGAUUCUGCCAGCACAGUUCAGAGGAAGAAAUGAUGGCAGAGUUGUCAUACAAGCAUCCAGGGACAAUUCAAAAACCUUAGCACCAUCUCUGCAGUGGGCUUGGUGCGAGCAGAUGAGACAGCAGCAUUCCAGGCAGGAGGAUGGAUGGCCCUGAGAGCCCCUGCCACGGCCGUGGGCAGCGCUCAGGUGCUGAUCUUCUGUGAGUGCCUUCCCAGUGCCAAAGAAAGAACAUGUUUUUGAUGGAAAGCCUACUUGUAAAUGAGUACAAACAGAAAGUGUCACUCCUCAUGGGAGGGGUCAGGAAUACUUGAAUCUUCAGCUAGAAGAUCUUCUGCAGCCUGUUUAUCAGAUUGAGGACAACCCUUUCUCAUUCAUAAUGGAUUGUUCAGAAAAAAAGACAAUUGGACGUGGUAGAAGCUGUUUUUUUCCUAAGCGUGGCCCAAGGACAGCUGCAUCAGUACAACUGGAGGUGACAUGAACUGCAGCAUCAGAGGCACAGCAAGCACUGGAGGAUGUCCCAAUGUUAAGUGGUCUUGCUGUCAGCAAAAACCUGCUCUGGUACUGUAUCCCAGUUGGACGGGUUUCACUGGAUGUAGAAAUAUUUAUUGAACUGUUCAUUUGUUUGUUUGAUUUUAAGGAUUAAUAUCUUGGGGUUUUGUGUUGUUUGGAUUUAUUUUUUUUUUUUGCCUGAGAUAAACCAUCUAUCUGAGAAAUAAGUCAGCUUUGUGGACAGCCAGUGGAUGUCAAUAAAGUCUUGGCAAACACAGUAGGUAUUUAUUCAGCCUUGCAAAUUAGAAACAUUUCUCCUGCUUGUUUUAUGAAGGGAACAAAAAAAGACAAAUUACAUAGCGGAUGAGCUCUCUUGAUAGUUGGAAUUCGUUUGUCUGGUGGUGAAAACGCUGGGGGAUUUAUGGUGCAGAAAAAUAAAAGAUGAAACAGCUUUUCACCAAUAGCAGUGCUUUAAGUUCUCAUUGAAAAUUACUGGGGAAAAAACCCUUUAAAGACAUCUGUAGCUGACUUCACAGUCUCAAUUACUGUCUUGGUAGGCAGUUCUUCCCUUCCUCACUGCAGUAAGUAUUAAUUGUUUUUUCAGCUGGCAAACAAUUCCUUUAUGGUUCCUUGGUCUUAUUGCCGUGGGGUAUCUGCAGCAACUCAUAAGUGAGAUACAUGGCCAAGUGUUGAGUAGGAAGUUCACACUCCUGCUUCCCAUGCUAUAGCCGCUCUGUUAACAGAGGCUUUCUGCAAAGUUAUCAAUCUGUCAUCUUCUCUUGGCUUCACAUUUUAUUAAAAAAAGGAAUUUGAGAAGUUACAGUAAGUUGAGCAAUUUGUCAGACGUAACUCACUUGAAGGCUAUUGUCUCCAAAUUACAGGCUGACUCGGUCUUGCAGCCUGUCGUGGAUGGAUCAUAAAAUUGUCAUAGAUAAAAGCUUUAACAAAAUCCGCUUAGGCAGCUCCUGUGAUGGCAGAACAUGGAAAGGAAGCAAUACACUGAAAGACCUGCUAAGCCUUUGGCUGCAGCUAAACCACUCGUAAGUCACUAGAAUUAUUCAGCAGCAAAACAAAACCAGAGAAAACUCCAAACUUGCAGUGGUUUAAUCUCUGACAUAGCUUCACUCGUGUAAGUAAUCUCACUGAUGUCAGAUAAGGCCUUGUGAAUUCUGUAAUAUUGAAGAUCAAACUGCUGAUGCUUUAUUUCCUCUGGAAGGGUACAGAAUGGUGUUAAUUUGUAACUACAGAAACAAUGAAACAAGAAGCUUGUCCAUUUCCAGUUUUUAUGUAAGUCUGUUAACUGAGCUGAGUUUGCUCUCUAUAUUUCCCAAGUUCCUGCUUUUCUACUAAGUAGAAUCAUCAGCAUGAAGGUGUUGUCUCCUCUGCUCCUCUUCUUCCUCUCCAGUUAAACAAAGAAAUUAUUGCUAGCAAAUGUGGAAGGGACAGAGAAGUCCAAGAUCUAAAGAUUCAUUAAAAAUGUGCAGGGUCUGAUAGUUGAAGGAGCUAAUUAGGAGGCGUCUUGGAGAAGUAGCUUAGUUCUCUAUCUGUAGUUCAUUUGUUCUUCCAGUUUAGAAGAACAGUUUACAGCCCUAAUGCAGGAGUGCUUCUCGUUGUCUGUGCUCUGGAACUGCACAUUGUUCUUACAUUUUUUGAAAGACACUUUCUUCAAAAGUACAGAUGUGUUCAGUGGAAGAGUCUGUCCUUUGGUUAGUCAUACUGAGACAUUGUGGUCUGCACCCGUUGUAGGAGUAGCAAUAAAUGCAGAUACACACAUGCUGAACCUCAACUGCAAAUCCCUUGUACAUGGCACGUGUAACUGUGCAUGGACACACACUGCAACAGUUCAGCCUUGCCUCUGAUCAGGGAAGAUAACGGUUGUGAAGCCUUACUGCCUCCUUGUCUCACAGAUUGAUGCCAAAUUUGUUGGAUUUUCUCUUGAAGAUUUUCUGGGAGGGGAGUGCUUAAGCUGUCCUGCCAACAGAUAUUCCCUGGGAACUGCCUAUGCUCAUUUCACAUUUCUCUCUUCCAUCUUCAGCCAUGUAGAAGCUCAGUUUCUAGGCUCAGCUAGUUGUUUAGCUUGUCGCUGUGGUAAAUGAAGAGUUACACACCUCUGGAGGUAAUUAACACAUGGAAAUAGAUGUAAUUAAUUACAUUUCUGACAUGAUUUCCUGCUGCCUGAAGAGAACAAUUUUAACACUACUUGGCUGUCCUCAGGAGACUGCAGAUGGGUUCAUCUCGGGUGAUGUUUGUAAUCAGCUGAAGUCAGCUUGCACAGAGCUGCCAGCAGCAGGCACAGAAUGUGCAGGUAUGACACUGCAGAAGGGAACAAGUACAGCCCUUAACUUCUUGAAUUAUACUGCAGCAGGGCAAAGUUUGAGGCUUUUUCAUGCCUUGAGGAAAUUGUCCACAGCGUUAAAGCAUCAGCAUUUCCUGCGCCCGCCAGAACAGUGUUGUUUUACAGCCACACAGGGCACAGCGGUUGCCUUCUGUCAUCAGAACACGCUGUGCUGUUGUGCUGCUGCUGCUUCGGGUAAUUUGUUCUCGCUGAAGCUCUGUGAUGUGCUUAUGGAGUGCUUCGCAGAAUGUCACCGUGAGCGUGGCUGUGCCUCAUCUGUGCAAACACUGGGAGUUGUUUGACUUGAUUUCGUAGACUCGACUUGGGUAUGUUUGUUCUGCCAGCUGAAAUGAGACAUUGAAGACAGGUUAUAAAAAAUACAUCUGUUUGAAAAGAUUAAAUGGUUUAAAACACACUUGAGUAAUAGAGUUCCAAGAAAAAUCCUUGUGUCAGACUUCCUAGAAAUUGUGGUGGAACCAGGUGGUAAGUGCCAGCACU